CGGGGCGUAGCGCAGAUGGUAGCGCGUCUGGUUUGGGACCAGAAGGCCGCAGGUUCGAAUCCUGUCGCCCCGACCA
rnacentral:tRNA from 6 species